UACGUAGGGAGCGAGCGUUGUCCGGAAUCAUUGGGCGUAAAGAGCAUGUAGGUGGAUCAAUUAGUCUGCUGUGAAAGUCAAAGGCUCAACCUUUGAAAAGCCGGUGGAUACUGUUGAUCUAGAGUACGGAAGAGGCGAGUGGAAUUCCUGGUGUAGCGGUGGAAUGCGCAGAUAUCAGGGAGGGAACACCAAUAGCGAAGGCAGCUCGCUGGGACGUUACUGACACUGAGAUGCGAAAGCGUGGGGGAGCAAACAG
rnacentral:rRNA from 1 species